rnacentral:lncRNA from 1 species
UACAUUCCUUGCCUUUACUAGAAAUCACCAAUCCAAGACCCUUUUAAGUAUCUUUAUUCCCUGCUUUGGCAAUGGGAGUUGUUCACAAUGCAUAUCAACGUCAUCCCACUAAUUUCUUUUCUUUUUCGAGGAAAAAUAAAAAACAGAUAAGCUCAAAAUGCCAUUAACAUUAGACAUGGUGUUCGAUCUAUUUUUUUUAUGCCGUACAAUCACAUUGGCACAUUUACACUAUUUU